UGGGGAAUCUUCCGCAAUGGACGAAAGUCUGACGGAGCAACGCCGCGUGAGUGAUGAAGGUUUUCGGACUGUAAAACUCUGUUGUCAGGGACGAAGGUGCGAUCUGCGAAUAGUUGAUCGUAUUGACGGUACCUGACGAGGAAGCCACGGCUAACUACGUGCCAGCAGCCGCGGUAAUACGUAGGUGGCAAGCGUUGUCCGGAAUUAUUGGGCGUAAAGAGCAUGUAGGUGGGCUUUUAAGUCCGAUGUGAAAAUGCGGGGCUCAACCCCGUAUGGCAUUGGAUACUGGAAGUCUUGAGUGCAGGAGAGGAAAGGGGAAUUCCCAGUGUAGCGGUGAAAUGCGUAGAUAUUGGGAGGAACACCAGUGGCGAAGGCGCCUUUCUGGACUGUGUCUGACACUGAGGCACGAAAGCGUGGGGAGCAAACA
rnacentral:rRNA from 1 species